GCCUGGAUGGCUCAGUUGGUUAAGCGUAUGACUUCAGCUCAGGUCAUGAUCUCACAGUUCAUGGGUUUGAGCCCCGUGUCAGGCU
rnacentral:tRNA from 1 species